UACGUAGGCAGCAAGCGUUGUUCGGAGUUACUGGGCGUAAAGGGCGCGUAGGCGGCAUGACAAGUCACUUGUGAAAUCUCUGGGCUUAACCCAGAACGGCCAAGUGAUACUGUCGCGCUAGAGUGCGGAAGGGGCAAUCGGAAUUCUCGGUGUAGCGGUGAAAUGCGUAGAUAUCGAGAGGAACACCUGAGGUGAAGACGACUUACUGGACACAUAAUUGACGCUGAGGUGCGAAAGCCGUGGGGAGCAAACAGG
rnacentral:rRNA from 1 species